AAACGAUAAAGGCAAACUUGCCGAAAGGUGAGGACGCAAAACCGCGGGUCUAAGGCUUCUGUUAAUCAGAAGCUACGAUAGCCGGGUUGUCGCA
rnacentral:ncRNA from 1 species